CUAUAGCUGAUCUGAGAGGAUGAUCAGCCACACUGGAACUGAGAUACGGUCCAGACUCCUACGGGAGGCAGCAGUGGGGAAUAUUGGACAAUGGGCGAAAGCCUGAUCCUGCCAUGCCGCAUGAGUGAAGAAGGCCUUCGGGUUGUAAAGCUCUUUUAGUGAGAAAGAUAAUGACGGUACUCACAGAAGAAGUCCUGGCUAACUCCGUGCCAGCAGCCGCGGUAAUACGGAGAGGGCUAGCGUUAUUCGGAAUUAUUGGGCGUAAAGAGCGCGUAGGCUGAUUAGUAAGUUAAAAGUGAAAUCCCAGAGCUUAACUUUGGAAUUGCUUUUAAAACUGCUAAUCUAGAGAUUGAAAGAGGAUAGAGGAAUUCCUAGUGUAGAGGUGAAAUUCGUAAAUAUUAGGAGGAACACCAGUGGCGAAGGCGUCUAUCUGGUUCAAAUCUGACGCUGAGGCGCGAAGGCGUGGGGAGCAAACAGGAUUAGAUACCCUGGUAGUCCACGCUGUAAACGAUGAAUGUUAAAUAUGGGAAGUUUACUUUCUGUAUUACAGCUAACGCGUUAAACAUUCCGCCUGGGGACUACGGUCGCAAGAUUAAAACUCAAAGGAAUUGACGGGGACCCGCACAAGCGGUGGAGCAUGUGGUUUAAUUCGAUGCAACGCGAAAAACCUUACCACUCCUUGACAUGGAAAUCAUACCUAUUUGAAGGAAUAGGGUCGGUUCGGCCGGAUUUCACACAGGUGUUGCAUGGCUGUCGUCAGCUCGUGUCGUGAGAUGUUGGGUUAAGUCCCGCAACGAGCGCAACCCUCAUCCUUAGUUACCAUCAGGUUAUGCUGGGGACUUUAAGGAAACUGCCAGUGAUAAACUGGAGGAAGGUGGGGAUGAUGUCAAGUCAUCAUGGCCCUUAUGGAGUGGGCUACACACGUGCUACAAUGGUGAUUACAAUGGGCUGCAAAGUCGUAAGGCUGAGCUAAUCCUAAAAAAUCAUCUCAGUUCGGAUUGUUCUCUGCAACUCGAGAGCAUGAAGUUGGAAUCGCUAGUAAUCGUGGAUCAGCAUGCCACGGUGAAUACGUUCUCGGGUCUUGUACACACUGCCCGUCACGCCAUGGGAAUUGGUUUCACUCGAAGCU
rnacentral:rRNA from 1 species